rnacentral:misc_RNA from 1 species
UUUCCGUAGGUGAACCUGCGGAAGGAUCAUUAUUGUAUAACCGAGGUGCGAGGGCUGUCGCUGACCCGAAAGGUCGUGCACGCCCGAGUGCCCUCACACACAUCCAUCUCACCCCUAUGUGCACCACCGCGUGGGUCCCCCUUUGGCUUGUUCGGAGGGGGGCUUACGUUUUCACACAAACUUUGUAUGCAGUGUAGAAUGUAUUUUUUGUUUUUCGGUUCCCCCAUCCAAACAACUUUCAACAACGGAUCUCUUUGCCCUCGCAUCCAUGAAGAACGC